AGAGUUUGAUCCUGGCUCAGGAUGAACGCUGGCGGCGUGCUUAACACAUGCAAGUCGAACGAACCUUCGGGUUAGUGGCGGACGGGUGAGUAACGCGUGGGAAUCUGCCCUCAGGAGGGGGAUAACGGCUGGAAACGGCCGCUAAUACCCCAUAUGCCGAGAGGUGAAAUGAAUUUCGCCUGAGGAUGAGCCCGCGUCUGAUUAGCUUGUUGGUGAGGUAAUGGCUCACCAAGGCUUCGAUCAGUAGCUGGUCUGAGAGGAUGAUCAGCCACACUGGGACUGAGACACGGCCCAGACUCCUACGGGAGGCAGCAGUGGGGAAUUUUCCGCAAUGGGCGAAAGCCUGACGGAGCAACGCCGCGUGAGGGAUGAAGGCCUCUGGGCUGUAAACCUCUUUUCUCAAGGAAGAAGAUCUGACGGUACUUGAGGAAUAAGCCACGGCUAAUUCCGUGCCAGCAGCCGCGGUAAUACGGGAGUGGCAAGCGUUAUCCGGAAUUAUUGGGCGUAAAGCGUCCGCAGGCGGCCUUUCAAGUCUGCCGUUAAAACGUGGAGCUUAACUCCAUCAAGGCAGUGGAAACUGUUGGGCUUGAGUGUGGUAGGGGCAGAGGGAAUUCCCGGUGUAGCGGUGAAAUGCGUAGAUAUCGGGAAGAACACCAGUGGCGAAGGCGCUCUGCUGGGCCAUAACUGACGCUCAUGGACGAAAGCCAGGGGAGCGAAAGGGAUUAGAUACCCCUGUAGUCCUGGCCGUAAACGAUGAACACUAGGUGUCGGGGGGAAUCGACCCCCUCGGUGUCGUAGCCCAACGCGUUAAGUGUUCCGCCUGGGGAGUACGCACGCAAGUGUGAAACUCAAAGGAAAUUGACGGGGGCCCGCACAAGCGG
rnacentral:rRNA from 1 species